UACGAAGGGGGCUAGCGUUGUUCGGAAUUACUGGGCGUAAAGCGCGCGCAGGCGGUCUUCCAAGUCAGUGGUGAAAUCUCCGGGCUUAACCCGGAAACUGCCAUUGAUACUAUCAGUCUUGAAUACCGUGGAGGUAAGCGGAAUAUGUCAUGUAGCGGUGAAAUGCUUAGAUAUGACAUAGAACACCAAUUGCGAAGGCAGCUUACUACCCGAAUAUUGACACUGAGGCACGAAAGCGUGGGGAUCAAACAGG
rnacentral:rRNA from 1 species